rnacentral:lncRNA from 1 species
AAAAUCAAAAUUGUUAAAUAUAUAUAUAUAUAAAACAAGAUUUUACCAUAUAACAAAUUAUAAUAUAUAAUUAAUAUGAGAUACAUAAAAGAUCAUAAAUACAAGUAAAUAAUUUGUUUACAUUAUUGAGAGGGGAUAUAUAUACACAUAAUAAUAUAUAUAUUUAAGCAUUUCACAUGUUGAUGGCCUCUCUCUCUCUUCUCUCCAUCAUCAUCAUCAUCGUUGUUGUUGUUCCACUGAAGUGAAGAAUUAGGGAAAAUAUAUAUAAAGCAAAUAUAAGUUUAAAAGAAGAGAAGAGGAAAAUGGGAAGGCCUCCAUGUUGUGAGAAAGUAGGGAUAAAGAAAGGGCCAUGGACUCCUGAAGAAGAUAUCAUUCUUGUUUCUUACAUUCAACAACAUGGUCCUGGCAAUUGGAGAUCAGUUCCUACUAACACAGGUACCCUAAUUUCAUUCAUUCAUUCAUCGAAUAUUUAAUUAUUCAUAUGAUCAAUUAAUUAAAUUUCAUUAUUUAUCCUUUAGGAUUGUUGCGUUGUAGCAAAAGUUGUAGACUUAGAUGGACCAAUUAUCUUAGACCUGGAAUUAAAAGAGGCAAUUUCACUCCUCAUGAAGAAGGAAUGAUCAUUCAUCUUCAAGCUUUAUUGGGUAACAAGUAUAAUUUUCUUCUCUUUUUCUACUUAUAUUCAUUAAAUUUCUAUAUAUGUGUGUGUGUGUGUGUGUGUAUGUAUGUACACACGUAACACCCUUUCAAAGCCUUUGAGAUUAAUUAUUUAUAUUUUUGUGUGUGUCGGUUGGUAACUUUGGCGUUUUUCCUUUAAGUUGAAGGUUCAAAAACUUCUAAUCAAAGUCUAUUUAGGGUUUAGAAAUUUUGGUCCAAAGUAUUAGAUUAAGAGAUUUGAAUUUUUGACCUAAUUCAAAAUAGGAAAAUAUAUUAAGAGUUUUGAAUUGGUAAAUUAAAAUGUUGUGUAUGGAAGAAGAAGAAGAAGCUACGCCAAGUGUUUGGACUAAAAGAAAUUGAAGUUUUUGUUUCUCAGAACGUGUAAGGAGUUGAAAGAAUUAAGGUUCGGAUUAAUUAAAGGAAAAAACUUUAUUUCAUUUUUAUUUCAACUGAUCUUCCUAAUUAAUGGUUCUUUAAAUAAAGUGUUUUAAUUAAAUUAUUUUGAGUGGUAAUUAAACGGUUUGAUUUUUUUGAAAAUAAGUUGUUUUCAAUAUUCAACGAUAAUUGAUAUUAUUUGAUUAAGAAAAGAUUGCAUGUAAAAAAAGGAAAAAAAGAAUGGAAUUAUGUGAAGUUUUUGGUUUGUGUUAAUGGAAAUUUUGAUAAUUGAAAUGGUCAGAUGGGCGGCGAUAGCUUCGUACCUUCCUCAAAGAACAGAUAAUGAUAUCAAGAAUUAUUGGAACACUCACUUGAAAAAGAAGCUUAAAAAGUUGAAUUCCGCCGCCGUCGACACCCCGGAGCCGCCUGAAUCCGCCACCACUCGCUUUCAAUCCAAUGAUAAAGUUCCGACUGCUGAUUCACCCUCGUCGCUAGUUUCAAACAGAGCCACCACUUACGC